rnacentral:rRNA from 1 species
GAUGAGCGCUGGCGGCGUGCCUAAUACAUGCAAGUCGAGCGAACGGACGAGAAGCUUGCUUCUCUGAUGUUAGCGGCGGACGGGUGAGUAACACGUGGAUAACCUACCUAUAAGACUGGGAUAACUUCGGGAAACCGGAGCUAAUACCGGAUGAUAUUUUGAACCGCAUGGUUCAAAAGUGAAAGACGGUCUUGCUGUCACUUAUAGAUGGAUCCGCGCUGCAUUAGCUAGUUGGUAAGGUAACGGCUUACCAAGGCAACGAUGCAUAGCCGACCUGAGAGGGUGAUCGGCCACACUGGAACUGAGACACGGUCCAGACUCCUACGGGAGGCAGCAGUAGGGAAUCUUCCGCAAUGGGCGAAAGCCUGACGGAGCAACGCCGCGUGAGUAAUGAAGGUCUUCGGAUCGUAAAACUCUGUUAUUAGGGAAGAACAUAUGUGUAAGUAACUGUGCACAUCUUGACGGUACCUAAUCAGAAAGCCACGGCUAACUACGUG